GACGAACGCUGGCGGCGUGCCUAACACAUGCAAGUCGAACGGAGACAAUAGCAAUAUUGUCUUAGUGGCGGACGGGUGAGUAACGCGUGAGCAACCUGCCUUUCAGUGGGGGACAACAGUUGGAAACGACUGCUAAUACCGCAUAAUGUAUUCGAGUGGCAUCACUUGAAUACCAAAGAUUUAUUGCUGAAAGAUGGGCUCGCGUCUGAUUAGCUAGUUGGUAGGGUAACGGCCUACCAAGGCUUCGAUCAGUAGCCGGACUGAGAGGUUGAACGGCCACAUUGGGACUGAGAUACGGCCCAGACUCCUACGGGAGGCAG
rnacentral:rRNA from 1 species